UAAAAUAAUAGAAAUAUAUUUUUUUUUACAUGUUUAAUUUAUUCACAACUUAAAACAACACAAUUUUUUGUUUUUUUAACAACUUUCUAUUAUUUAAUGUACAAAUUAUAUAUUUAUUUAACUAUUAAAAAUAUAAAAUGACCAAACUAAUAAGAAGAAAUUAGAGUGCAAUACAUAAUUUAAACAUAAAACUUUCACAGUCAGAAAGAAAAAGCAAAAUACCAUAUCUCAUUUUAUCAUAGAAUGUCUUGGAUAGAACAAACAGAUGUCAGAAAAUGCAAAAAGAUAAAAUAUGAGACGAAGCAAUCCCUGAAACACAAAUGAUCUUGAUCAAGCAUCAGCGCAAAAAACCAAAAAAGCGGGCCAGAGAAAGAAUAAUCAUCUGAAGAACAAAGUCACCACGAAACAAAAAGACGCAUGUCUAAAGCACCAGAAGCACAACCACCAGUUAAGAGAUAAGAAACACCUCACAAAC
rnacentral:lncRNA from 1 species